rnacentral:rRNA from 1 species
UACGGGGGGAGCAAGCGUUGUUCGGAAUUACCGGGCGUAAAGGGCGCGUAGGCGGUCAGCACAAGUCAGUUGUGAAAUCUCCGGGCUUAACUCGGAAAGGUCAACUGAUACUGUGCGACUAGAGUGCAGAAGGGGCAACUGGAAUUCUCGGUGUAGCGGUGAAAUGCGUAGAUAUCGAGAGGAACACCUGCGGCGAAGGCGGGUUGCUGGGCUGACACUGACGCUGAUGCGCGAAAGCCAGGGGAGCGAACGGG